GUGGGGAAUAUUGGGCAAUGGGGGAAACCCUGACCCAGCAACGCCGCGUGAAGGAAGACGGUUUUCGGAUUGUAAACUUCUUUUAUCGGGGACGAAAAAAAUGACGGUACCCGAAGAAAAAGCCACGGCUAACUACGUGCCAGCAGCCGCGGUAAUACGUAGGUGGCAAGCGUUGUCCGGAUUUACUGGGUGUAAAGGGCGUGUAGGCGGGACUGCAAGUCAGAUGUGAAAUACCAAGGCUUAACCUUGGGGCUGCAUUUGAAACUGUAGUUCUUGAGUGAUGGAGAGGCAGGCGGAAUUCCUAGUGUAGCGGUGAAAUGCGUAGAUAUUAGGAGGAACACCAGUGGCGAAGGCGGCCUGCUGGACAUUAACUGACGCUGAGGCGCGAAAGCGUGGGGAGCAAACAGGAUUAGAUACCCGUGUAGUCC
rnacentral:rRNA from 1 species